rnacentral:rRNA from 1 species
UACGUAGGGUGCAAGCGUUACUCGGAAUUACUGGGCGUAAAGCGUGCGUAGGUGGUUUGUUAAGUCUGUUGUGAAAGCCCCGGGCUCAACCUGGGAAUGGCAAUGGAUACUGGCAGGCUAGAGUGCGGUAGAGGGUAGUGGAAUUCCCGGUGUAGCGGUGAAAUGCGUAGAGAUCGGGAGGAACACCUGUGGCGAAGGCGGCCCCCUGGGCCGGCCCUGACACUGAGACGCGAAGGCGUGGGGAGCGAACGGG